CGCCACGAACAAAACCAGGCGGUGCUCACGCCACUCAAAAUGAAAGCGUACGUCAGCCUAGCCCACAAGAAGCAGUGUGAAACAGUGCUUAUCGGAGGAACGGUUGGGUGUGAUGUGAAGUCAACCUAAACAUUACCGCACAGUCAGCCAUAAGGAGAGUAGAAUAACAAAAUCAAAUAAAAUAAAGUGGUCGCCAAAGACCCUUCUGGCUUGACUACCCAUAUACUCGUAUAUACCAGUGAGAAGGCAUGGACACACUCAACAUGGAUGUGCACAGUAAUGAAGACAAUGACUCAGACCAAUCAUUACCAUACACAACUUUCCUGCCAGCAGUUAAACAGGAGAAUGAUGAGAGGUUGCCUGACUCCCCAACAGAAUCAUCACGGUUAGGGGACAACAUGCAGCCAGCCCUUGCUGGUGAACUCCCUUGACCACUGCUACUCUCAGGGAACCCAGAAGAUUCUUAAACCAGAGAAAACCUACUGGGUCUGCAAAAUGUGCAACAGGCAGGUGAAGUGCAGAGCCAGUCAUACAACAAGGCGGCAUGUUCACACCAGGCUGCUGCAACUACUAUCACACAAUGUAGCCUGGGGCAGACAAGAUGAUGGAGGUGGCAGCAGAGGUGAAACAAAGAGCCAAGGAAGACUUACUAGGUCAGCCUCAGAUAUAGUGAGAACAGUUACCAUGGAGAAGAUGGAUAAGAAUGAGCCUCCAGGAUGCAUCAACCCCUCAUUGUUGAUAUGCGUCACUAACCGUUUCCAUCACUCCAAACAACUGCCACAACCAACAAGCAUCAACUCUGAAUUAGAAAAGAAAUUCAUCCUAGAAACUUUCUUGCAGAAGGACAUCCACACAGGCAGCAGCUGACACCUGCUGUUCUUCACACCUCAGCAGCUCACUCUUCUUAACAAAGCCAAGAUCACCUAUAUUAACAGAAGCUUCAAGUUUGUCAAGUAACCAUUCAAGCAGCUGCUGUCCAUCUACACCUUUGUUGAGACUGAAGCACAUAAAAACAUACAGGCAGAUUUCCCUUGCCUUUUGCUUGAUGUCUCAGCACAGAAAGCAGGACUACAAGGUACUAGCAGCUCUAAAUUCACUCCUCCCUUCUGACAGCAACAACAUCCAGACAGCUGUAGGAGAGUUUGACAAUGGUCUGUGGCAGGCAGUCUGGACCAUCUAUGGCAACCAAGUGAAGAUGAAGGGUUGUGUUUUCCAUUGGAACCAGGUGUGAAAGAAAUGUGAACAGCUAAUGGUUCAUGUUCCAUAUAAGGCUGAAUCAAGGGUUCAUAGGACUGUGAAGCAGUUGAUGGCUCUGCCUUUUCUCCCAACAGACAAAAUUCCAUACAUCUUGGAGGAAAUGGGAAAGAUCUCUGCAUCUCAGCCUAUUGUUCCUCUUCUUGUCACACAUAUAGAGGAGAAAUGAGUAAAGGGGUUUUGGAAGCCCCAUGACUAGUCAGUGUACAACCACAGCAUCUAGGCCAAGGAAGAUGUAGUAGGCUGGCAUCGGAGAUUCAAACCCAACACCACACGUCACAAGACAAACCUGUACUAUCUCAUCUCCCUCCUGUUCAGUGAGACCAGCACUGUGGGCAGCAAGAUGAAGGUUCUGAGUGAGUCAAGCCUGGCCAAGCAUCAGCAGACCAAGUGCUGACAAAUGCCAGGGAAGGUGUUCAGUUACUGGCAGAAACAUGACAAGGGGAAAAUUACCACACUCAGACUGCAAUAACUUUGCAGUCAAAUAAAUGUUUCAAACAGAUAAAAACCUACUGCAGGCUAAUCUUCAUAUCAGGUGAUCUUUGUUUGAAUUGUACAACAUCUAAAGAA